rnacentral:rRNA from 1 species
GUGCCAGCAGCCGCGGUAAUACGUAGGGGGCAAGCGUUGUCCGGAAUUAUUGGGCGUAAAGCGCGCGCAGGCGGUUCGUUAAGUCUGAUGGUAAAGCCCGGGGCUCAACCCCGGUAUUCAUUGGAAACUGGCGGACUGGAGUGCAGGAGAGGGAAGCGGAAUUCCACGUGUAGCGGUGAAAUGCGUAGAGAUGUGGAGGAACACCAGUGGCGAAGGCGGCUUCCUGGCCUGUAACUGACGCUGAGGCGCGAAAGCGUGGGGAGCAAACAGGAUUAGAUACCCUGGUAGUCCACGCCGUAAACGAUGAGUGCUAGGUGUUGGGGGUUUCGAUACCCUCGGUGCCGAAGUAAACACAGUAAGCACUCCGCCUGGGGAGUACGCUCGCAAGAGUGAA